UUCUUGCAGUUGAGUUGAUGCCUGGAAAGCAACCAUUGGAACAUGAAUAACAAGAAUAAGAUGGAACAAUUGACAAAGCCGCUGAAAUCAGAAGAAAACCUAAUUAAGGUGCUAUGAAGAACAAGAAGAAUUAUUGAGGUUAAAGCAAUUUAUAAAUAUUCCCCGAAUGUACUUCAACUUGACUUAUGCUCAAAUAGGAGGAAAAAUAGGAGAUAAGUAACUUAUUUUGCACAUUCUUGAGAUAUCAUGUUUAUGGUUAUGCAAAAUAAAAUAUGAUUGCACUACCUAACAAACAAAUUUUACCUUAUAAAGGAAAGUAGGUGAGGGGCAUGAAUAAACAAAGCACAAAAGUGAAAAACUGCAAUGCAAUGAUAUUUUAGCGGACAUCAUACCUCAUAGUCACCACCUCAAU
rnacentral:misc_RNA from 1 species